CACGUGGAAGGAGCUUACGAACCGCAAGAAAUUUCAGCGUAUUUUCCAGCUUUUAUGGAUUUAAGAAACACGUUAUAUUGACCUUAUUACCUUGGAUAUCGUCAGUUCUGUCAAGGUUGGUGAGUGUUUCUUAUGCCGAAUCGCGUGGCUAACAUUCGACGUCGAGGAUUCAUGACUUCAAUUUUGUCAAGACUUUUCUUCAGAAAGUAAUUGCCAACUGUGGACUUUAGGUUCAAAUUUAUUUCUGAUUGUUUUGCGGUGAAAUCCUUUUGUUGGCUGAUGCAGAGUCAAUUAGGUUUUUUGUUUCCUUUUUCCCACGGCUUUUGGUUCGUAGUGCUGCUGAUUUCAUGAGAUGGUUGAUUAAGGGUUGACCCACCUAGGAGUCGGUAUCGUUCAAAAAAAAAUAUAGAAAAGAUUAAAAGGAUUCAAGGGAAAGUGGGAAAUUGGAUGUAUAUUUACGUCUUGGAUUUCAGUGGAUUAUGAUCGCCUCCAUGAGGUGUCCAAGGCGAGUGGUUUGUUAGCAUUGAGAAGCUGCACGUGAUCAGUUGAAGCAGAAGCACACAACACAGAAGCAUCAUUUUAGGUACCGAGGUUACAAAGUUAAAAAGGUCAUGAGGGACACGUGUUGAGCUUAAUUACAGCUGAAUAGAGAUUUGUUAUUGAGAAUUCAUGAAGAAUGACCAAAAAA